AGAAUGAACUAGAAGAUCUUCCCAAACAAAUACAGCAGAGGAUAAGGCUGUGGAGCUGCAGAAAAAAGGCUGUUCUACAAGGCUGAAAGCUGGGAUGUAAUUGAUGACAUACACAAUGUGGCCUCCCCACAUGAGUCUUUCUCACUGUAACCCUGGAAAACAGAAAACAGACUUUGUGAAGAUAUUGGACUACCUGUUAAUUAUGAGUCUUCAUGUACAACAAUAAAAUAGCAAACGAAAGGGGGGAAUCUGGCUAUUGGAUAAAUUCAAUCUCUUUUUAAAGUGACUCCAUUAGAAGUAAUCUGUAUAUACAGGCAAAGUCUUUUUUUGGGUAUAGCAAUUCCCCUAAAUCAUAAGAACA